UACGGGGGGGGCAAGCGUUGUUCGGAAUUACUGGGCGUAAAGGGCUCGUAGGCGGCCAACUAAGUCAGACGUGAAAUCCCUCAGCUUAACUGGGGAACUGCGUCUGAUACUGGAUGGCUUGAGUUCGGGAGAGGGAUGCGGAAUUCCAGGUGUAGCGGUGAAAUGCGUAGAUAUCUGGAGGAACACCGGUGGCGAAGGCGGCAUCCUGGACCGACACUGACGCUGAGGAGCGAAAGCCAGGGGAGCAAAGCGGG
rnacentral:rRNA from 1 species